AGCAGUAGCCGCGGUAAUACGGAGGGUGCAAGCGUUAUCCGGAUUUAUUGGGUUUAAAGGGUCCGUAGGCGGACUUAUAAGUCAGUGGUGAAAGCCUGUCGCUUAACGAUAGAACUGCCAUUGAUACUGUAAGUCUUGAGUAUAUUUGAGGUAGCUGGAAUAAGUAGUGUAGCGGUGAAAUGCAUAGAUAUUACUUAGAACACCAAUUGCGAAGGCAGGUUACCAAGAUAUAACUGACGCUGAGGGACGAAAGCGUGGGUAGCGAACAGGAUUAGAUACCCCAGUAGUCCCUGUCUCUUAUAC
rnacentral:rRNA from 1 species